rnacentral:lncRNA from 1 species
ACACUUAACCAGUUCCGCAAAGCUUUAUUGUCUAUUUGAGCUCCACAGAAUUCAAGGAUCAAGGAAGACUAGCAGAUGGAGGAUAUCCUAAUCACUAUCAGGGUGCUGCCAACAUUCAAAUACACCUACGCCACCUGCUAGCUACAUCAGAAGAAAUUACGUUAAAAUCCAGCUUGGGGAGAGCACCCCCAUUUAUCCAGCUA